rnacentral:rRNA from 1 species
AUUGAACGCUGGCGGCAGGCCUAACACAUGCAAGUCGAGCGGAUGAAGGGAGCUUGCUCCUGGAUUCAGCGGCGGACGGGUGAGUAAUGCCUAGGAAUCUGCCUGGUAGUGGGGGAUAACGUCCGGAAACGGGCGCUAAUACCGCAUACGUCCUGAGGGAGAAAGUGGGGGAUCUUCGGACCUCACGCUAUCAGAUGAGCCUAGGUCGGAUUAGCUAGUUGGUGGGGUAAAGGCCUACCAAGGCGACGAUCCGUAACUGGUCUGAGAGGAUGAUCAGUCACACUGGAGCUGAGACACGGUCCAGACUCCUACGGGAGGCAGCAGUGGGGAAUAUUGGACAAUGGGCGAAAGCCUGAUCCAGCCAUGCCGCGUGUGUGAAGAAGGUCUUCGGAUUGUAAAGCACUUUAAGUUGGGGGGAAGGGCAGUAAGUUAAUACCUUGCUGUUUUGACGUUACCAACAGAAUAAGCACCGGCUAACUUCGUG